GAUCUAUUAGUUCAGUUGAUUAGAGCGUCGUACUAAUAAUGCAAAAGUUACAGGUUCGAUUUCUGCAUGGACCA
rfam:Glycine max cultivar Williams 82 chromosome 19, whole genome shotgun sequence.